rfam:Sus scrofa chromosome 15.
UUCCUGGUGGUCUAGUGGUUAGGAUCCAGGGCUUUCACUGCUGCAUCCCAGGUUCAAUCCCUGGUCUGGGAA